AGAAUGACCUUCAAUGAGACUCGUAUAAUCUCAGGGAUAGGGCCUGAAAGUUUCUACCGCUCGACCGUAAAUCGAGCGACUACGAGGAGAGGACUUCGGAUU
rnacentral:ncRNA from 2 species